rnacentral:rRNA from 1 species
UACGUAGGGUGCAAGCGUUAAUCGGAAUUACUGGGCGUAAAGCGUGCGCAGGCGGUGAGCUGUGUCCGAUGUGAAAGCCCCGGGCUUAACCUGGGAAUGGCAUUGGAAACUGGCUCGCUGGAGUGUGGCAGAGGGGGGUAGAAUUCCACGUGUAGCAGUGAAAUGCGUAGAGAUGUGGAGGAAUACCGAUGGCGAAGGCAGCCCCCCUGGGAUAACACUGACGCUCAUGCACGAAAGCGUGGGGAGCAAACAGG